rnacentral:rRNA from 1 species
AGAGUUUGAUCCUGGCUCAGGACGAACGCUGGCGGCGUGCUUAACACAUGCAAGUCGAACGGUGAAGUCCCUUCGGGGGCGGAUCAGUGGCGAACGGGUGAGUAACACGUGGGCAAUCUGCCCCUCACUGUGGGAUAACUCCGGGAAACCGGGGCUAAUACCGCAUAUGAAGCCUGGCGGCAUCGCCGGGUUUGGAAAGGUUUUCGGUGAGGGAUGAGCCCGCGGCCUAUCAGCUUGUUGGUGAGGUAAUGGCUCACCAAGGCGACGACGGGUAGCCGGCCUGAGAGGGCGACCGGCCACACUGGGACUGAGACACGGCCCAGACUCCUACGGGAGGCAGCAGUGGGGAAUAUUGGGCAAUGGGCGAAAGCCUGACCCAGCGACGCCGCGUGCGGGAUGAAGGCCUUCGGGUUGU